rnacentral:rRNA from 1 species
AUUGAACGCUGGCGGCAGGCCUAAAACAUGCAAGUCGAGCGAGCGGCGGACGGGUGAGUAAUGUCUGGGAAACUGCCUGAUGGAGGGGGAGAACUACGGGAAACGGUAGCUAAUACCGCAUACCAUCAGAGGUGCCCAGAUGGGAUUAGCUGGUAGGUGGGGUAACGGCUCACCUAGGCGACGAUCCCUAGCUGGUCUGAUAGGAUGACCAGCCACACUGGAACUGAGACACGGUCCAGCCUCCUACGGGAGUCAGCAGUGGGGAAUAUUGCACAAUGGGCGCAAGCCUGAUGCCGCCAUGCCGCGUGUGUGAAGCAGGCCUUCGGGUUGUAAAGCUCUUUCAGCGGGGAGGCGUUACCCGCAGAAGAAGCACCGGCUAACUCCGUGCCAGCAGCCGCGGUAAUUC